CUAGGUUUUGUUUUGGAAUAUAGGCCUAGCUAUAAUUUUCAGAAAAUUGUAAAGUCAACUUUACUUUGAAAAACUAUCCUUCCAUACUACAUAAACUGAAAGUUUCAUCUGCUGCAAAAUAAAGAAAUCUUGGGCAUUACUUUAACUUACCAUGUUGUGAUGAUCACAAGAACUUUACGUACACCCGGCCCAAAACGUCUGGACAUGCCGUUCUUGCAGGAUGUCACCUUCCUUAUAUAUUCCGUGAUUCUGGACUCCGGUCCUCAUUCCACUCAACCACGGAAUAUUUAGCAAUUUAUGCAAAAUAACCUCCGAAAUAUUGCGACAGUCUAAUCACUUUGAAAAUGGCAGCGUCACACAUUCAACCAAUCAAAUUUGAGAGCUACAGAUUUUGGAACUUCGACCAAUCGCGUGAAAGUACGAAGACGGCCGAAAAUUCUAGUCUUGUAUUUAUCUUUCGUAAAUAUGCUGUUAUUAUCUCGUUUGUUUAAAUUUUCUGCUAUUAGAAACUAAUUCAUAAUUCAUAGCUGUUUUUUUAAAACAAAUACUAAGAAUAUAAUAAUUUAAAAUUGAUUACGGAGUCACCCGAACUCUAUCUACAGUCACUUCCGCUUCCAUAUUUUGAAAUCGUCGAUCUGUGAACAUUGUGAGGAAAGGAAAGCAAAACAAUGGGAGAAACACGUGGAGAGUAUACAAUCUAUUUUGUGGACAACUUGUUAAAGGCUCCUAGAGUAUUCUUAUGGGGUAUGCGACGUGUAUAACACUGGAAGAAGCAGUCCUACCAAACUUGAAAAGCCACGAGGUCGAGUGGUAAUGGCGCGCCCGUGCCGAUGAACUUGCACGUUGUUUUCACAAUCGGUUUUCCCAACUGCCGACUAUUCCUUGUCAGAUAAUCCUAAAAAUCCGGGAGAUAUAGCAUAGCCUAUCUAACUUUGAAGUUUGAGGAAGCAGACUGACUUUGAAGACGACAAUGAUGUUGAUUGAAUAAUACCAGGAUGCAGCAUUGCAGAAAGUAAUGACGGUAUCUGACAUGUCUUAUGCCAAUCAAUUCCUCCAGAAGAUGACACAAACUUUAAAUUAUGGAAGUUGCGAGCAAGAAUUUUUCAAGGGAAUGUCAGAUGGAGAAGAAACAUAAGUCAACAAGACAGUGUAAAAUGAUAAAGUAUCUGUAAUAGGUGCUUACCAUAUUCUGCCUAUUGUGGAUUCAGUGAUGGUUUUUCAAACGAACUAUGCUCAUCAACCAAAUGUCCUUAAAAUUUGUGGAGUGCAGAGCCACUUUCAGGCGAGACAGUAGUGUGGUUCAUUUUAGUGGACAUGAUUUUAGACGAGAUGUGCUUUGUGAAACUUGAAACAUUGUUCAUUCAUCAUAGUGUAAUGAGAACUGUUGUGGUCCAUCAUUCUAUGCUUUAGUGAAGUAAUGGAGAUAAUGUGAAGUACAUGUGUAAAUGCUCAUAUUCUGCACAACAUAUUUUUCAGUGACAUUAUUUCUUUGAGACCAAGCUCUGGACAGUUGAUAGCCAUUUAUGUGUAGGACUUUAUUUAUUUUUCUGUGUGUGCAAUAGCAACUGCCACUUGCAGUAAACCCAAACAAAGUGGAGAAAUAAUUUGUUGAGUUCAGAGAUUACAAUUUUUAUUGUGUUAUUUUGAUGAGAAGAUAGUAUUAAUAAGGUACAAUGGUACAUUGUAUCUUAUUGAAAAGCUUAUUUAAGAGUUAUCAGUAGAAUUAGACUGCAUGACAAUUAUUAGAAUGGGAAACCUAGAUGAAGUCAAAAGAAACUAUACUGUAUUUUACAGACUGUCCUGGAAAUAUGCAAUAAAUAAUGUCUCCAGUGUUAUUUAGAAGUAUACUUCCUUAUUAUUUCAUUAUGCAUGCAACUGAUAAAGUUGUCUAAACUUAAAAGUUUGAAAUCUUUACUGUGAAGUUGAGAAGCUAAAUCUUGCAUCAUGUUUUCCACAAGUUAUAAGUUUUAUAUUUCAAUUUAAAAAUUAGUCAAUUUUUAUACAAUGAAAAUCACUGGGAGUUUUUUUUAAGUCCAAUUAUAAUACAAAAUUAAUACAUAUAAAAUCAAAGAUUUGGAUUAAAAAUGACUAAGUUAAAAAAAAUACAAUUAUAAUACAGUGAAAAAUCACUGAAAUUUUUUUAAGUCCAAUUAUAAUACAAAAUUAAUACAUAUAAAUUCAAAGAUUUGGAUUAAAAAUGACUAAGUUUUUAAAAAAAUACAAUUUUAAUACAGUGAAAAUGACUAAGUUUAAUUUUGAUACAAAAAUAAUAUGCUAGAAAAAAAACUAAGUCCCUAUAAAUACAAAAAUAAUAUAUUGAAAAUAAUCUAAGUCCAAAAUGAUACAAAAAUAAUACCCUUUAAAAAAUCAAAGUCAGAAUUUAAUAUAAAAAUGAGUUACCCAUUUUUUUUGUGAUACAAAAAUAAUAUAUUUUUUUUGUAUUAUUUCAAAAAAGUACAAAAAUGACUGUAUUAAUAAUAUAUUAAAAAUAUACUUUUAUGUAUUAUUUUUCCAUAUGGGUAAGGCAACAUAACAUAUAAGUCCACAUAACAUAUGUAAAGCAACAAAACAUAUAAGUCAAUAUGACACAUAUAAGUCAACAUAACAUAUAAAGGCAACAAAACAUAUAAGUCAACAUAACGCAUAUAAGUCAACAUAAGGCCAUAAUAAAAAAAUUUACUAGAUUUUUAAAAUUUUCAUUUUUUAGGCCAUGCCAAUUUGUAAUCAAGUUUGUUGGAUUCGCCGCUAUAAAUAAAUCCAAAUUAUGAUAUUAUCAAAAAAUAAUAUCCGCCCGCGUGUUCAAAUAUAUCUGCGUAAAAUAUUUUCGACUUUUUACAACAAGCGCAGAAAUGACCUUGAUGCAUGUGGCUGACAAUUGACAGAAGCGCUGGCUCUCGAGAAAUUUCCUAACAGUGUAAUACGGUGGUUUAAGUUAUUCGUGAUGUCUAUCUUAAUAUGUAUUCUAUUACAUAUCGCCUUUCGGCUCUGCAAGGGUAUCAUAUAGCAUUAUCUCCGAGUGCAGCAAGGCAUAUCUCACUUCAAAGAAGUUUAAAAAAUGACCAGUGUGACGUAUACACACCUGUGUUUAGUGGUAUAUAAACCACAGCUCCACGUGCCGAAGUCAUUCUUUUUCUCUGAGCGGCGUGAGUGUUUACCUGUAAGACAGGUGUGUCGCUACUAUCAAAGGUAUUGUUAGAAACUUAGAACGUUGUUCAAGUUGGCUUUUUUGGGGGAGUGUUUUUUGUCAGCUGUAAAACAGCUAAAUUAUUUAAUAAUCUUUUGAAAGGUAAGUUAACUUUGUGUGAGUUGUAUUUAUUGCCAUAAUGACAGCAGAAAAUCAGGACGAUGUCCUAUCUCUCAUGGGUAGCGACCAUGAUAAUUAUUCUGAUAUUGAGGAUUUAUUUGGAGAUAAGCUUCAUACAAGGAGUACGGAUGGGGUAGGUAAGAAAACAAGAGGAAUGAAGCUUAAAACGCAGACCUCAACUUGUUCAACAAGUGCUAAUGCACCGCCGACACGGGCGUGUAAACAAAGUAAAAUGGCUAAAAGCCAGUCAGAAUCUGUUCAAGAGAUAAAUGUCCAAGAACUGAAAAAUCAGCUUGGCAUCGUUAAGAUAUUACAAUCGAUAUCGUCUCUUACAGAUACAGUACGGCCAGCGCGGAUCCCGUAUUUUUCGCGCUCCCCCUGCGGGAUAGAGCUACUGCGGUAUAUCUCAGGUAACCCUGCAUAUCCCGCGGUCCUUGCCGCGGUCUCACCUGUAGAUGAUUAAUGCCAUCAACAAACGCGAGUUAUCUCCCGUUAACGUAAAAAAAAAAUAUACUGAUCAUAAACUGAAAACAGAUCGUUUGUUCAGCAAUACUAUAAAUAAAUCAUUAAAUUGCCAUAUACAUGUGCAUGCAUCACAUGUAAAACACAUUUUACAAAAACUUCUCAUGUUAACUUUAUUGAACCACACAUUCAAUAUAAGGGUAGAUUACCAUAUACCAAUGUCGGAAGAUGACCAUAUACAAGUGCAUAUAUAUACGCUUUAUCCGUAAAACGGCAAAGGUAACUUCACGAAAACUGAUUAUUCCUGUCGGUAUCAAUCACAUAUUGUUUUUCAGGAAUUUAAUUCUAUACAAUGUAUUUGUACAAAUAUUUAAAAAGAAAACAUGGAUAACAUAAAUUUAUAUCAAAGUAGGGAAAGGAAAACCUUGCAUCAGCAAAUUCUAAUCUUUAUAAAAUUUGAGAGAGAGAGAGGGGGGGGGGGGGAGAGAGACAGAGAGAGAGUACUAUUUAACAUAGCUGACUGGACUGUGAAGAAACGGUCAUGGGUAUACCGGUAUGUGUAUAUCUGUUACAUAACCCUAAAUAUUUGAUGAACCUAUAUUUGACCUUUUCCAAGAAAAAUGCUGGACAAAAUUCCUUUUGAGAAACAGAAAAUCGGCCCUAUUUUCCGACCGGAAGUGAAUUUUGUAAAAACAAAAAUAAUUAUAGCAAGGCAAUUUCAUAAGACAUUAUUCCUGAAAAUUUCGAGAAAAUAUAUCCAGCCAUCUCUGAGAAAUCCCUCGAAGAAAUUGGGAAAUCGACAUUUUUUCAAAUACUUCCGGUAUUGACGGUAUUGAGACGGAAGACCUUAACUAGACACUCAUUACUGUUAAUGAGUAGGUCUUCCGUUUGAACACUUCCGGUACAUAGCUUUCUGUUCUUACGAGAAUCAUUCAAAUAUAUCAGAGAAUGUGCCUUUUCAAGACAUGAGAGGUGUGUUAAUGAAGUUUUCACCCAUUUGUCGUAACUUCCGGUGACGACCGGAAGUAAUAUUCAGAUGUGUUUUCCCAUAAACCACAGCGACUCUCUAUUGUCUAUAUUUCCUGAAAGUUUCACGUCUCUAUUUGAAAGAGUUCUCAAGAAAAAGAAGCAGACUAAAGAAAGAAAAAGUAGUGGCUUACUACCGACCGGAAGUGAAUUUUGAAAAAUAAAAUUGUCUUAACUCAGGAUGUUGAUACUGUUCUUAAGAUAUUUGAAAAUCAUAUCAAACACUUGAAAUAUAAACAAGAUUUAUGGGGGGCACAAAGACGAAAGGUAGAAGAGUAUUUUAUCGAGAAACCGGAAGUAGCCGUUUUGACUACCGAGGGGGUAAACAUUCUUUGAAUACUUUGAAAGAGACUUAAUAAACUAGUGUAGGUUUCAAUUUAAAAGAAAAAGUUUGAAAUUAGUGAUUCUUUCAAUCACUUCCGGUUACGACCGGAAGUGAUAACGAAAAACAAAUUAAUGUGCAUGCACUAUACAAUCGAGAGAUCUAUAAUACCUGAGGGUUUCAUUUGUUCCUCUUUAGUCGUUUUUGAGAUUACCCCCGGACAAGAUGAUUUUUUGAAAAAUGGAAAUCGGACAUAUCCUACGAACGGAAGUAGAUUUUGUAAAAAUGAAAGAUCGUGUCUAAGGGUACUACAAUUCUCUAUCAUCUUCGUAAUUGGCAAGAAAAUCCAUUGAGCCAUCUCUGAGAAAUCUUGUUGAAAAAAUUUGAAUAUAGUAAAUUUUUCAACCACUUCCUGUUGAAAACGGAAGUGACGUACACUCAUAUACAAAAUAUAUUUAAGAUGGACUAUUGCUAAUCUAAAGCCCCUGCAAGUUUCAAGUGUAUAUCUAUACUCGUUCCGGAGAUAUCAGGGAAACAAAGUCUGAAUUUGUCCACACCAUAUCUAACGACCGGAAGUGAAUAUUACAAAAAUAUUUGAGGUUACUUUAGACAUUUAUAGUGCCUAUAAUAUAUGUAAAACUCAACUCAUUAACUUGUUUCAUGACCGAGAUUUAUGGCACUGAAAAAUGAGAGAAUGAUUGGUCUUUCUUUGAUAUAACCGGAAGUUGGAGAUUCAACUUCCGGUGGGGUCAACAUGUUUUGAGAAUUAGAAAGAGACCUAGUAAUUCGAUAUAGGUUUCAAUUUGAAAGAAAAAAGUUUGAAAUUGAUGAUUCAUUUAAUCACUUCCGGUGACGACCGGAAGUGACGGCGACAAAAUAUAUUACGUGCAUGCUCAUAGAAAAGAGAUCUAUCAUCCCUGAAAGUUUCAUUCGAUUAUCUUUAGUCGUUUUCAAGUUUACCCCCAGACAAGGUUGCUUUCAAAAACCGGAAAAUCGGACGUAUCUGACGAACGGAAGUGAAUUUUGAAAAAAUGAAAAAAAUAUGCCUAGAGGUACCAUCGUUCUCCAUAAUCUGUGAAAGUUUCAUGAAAAUCCAUCCAUCCGUCUCGGAGACGAAAGGGAAAAAAAAAAAAAAUAAUAAUAAACAGUAGAAUCACUAGAUGGUCUUCCGUUGGUAACGGAAGACCUUAACUAGAAACUUGUUGCCAUGGCAACAAGAAGGUCUUCCGUUCUUUCCGUGUCCAGUAGAUAACCUUAAAUUCUUCAAUUGUUAUAAAGUGGGAAAAAAAUAUUCGAAUAAUCUGGGGGAUUGAACCCGGGUCGCCCGCAUGAAAAUCCACUACGCUAACCAUUAGGCUAGCGAGGACCUCGCUUCAAAAUGAAAAUUACAAAUAUCUAGAGUUUGGUUUGAUCAAUUUAAAAACAAAUAUCAUAUUCAGCAUUCUAUAAAGAGUCUCUAUUUAUCUUACCUUUAUCAAAGAAAAACAUUAAAAAACAAAAAAUUUGAAAUUUUUUAAAUUCGCUUCCGGAAGCGACCGGAAGUGAUGACGACGUAGAAAAUAGUGAUUGAGCAAAUCUAUAAGUCAUGUUCUAUCAUCUCUAAUAAGUCUCCAGUUCAUAUCUUUAGCCGUUCCUGAGAUCACUCGCGGACAAAGUUCCAUUUGAAAGUCAGGAAAUUGUCCAUAACUUGGAACCGAAAUGGAAUUUUCCCAAUUUUUUUUGUGAUAAACAAAGUUCAUAAUAAAAUGCAUUUUUCCUGAAAGUUUCACUGAAAACCACUGUAUAGUUUUCGAGAAAACUCCUGCACAAAAUUUGGUCAAAAAAAUAAUAAUGAUAACUAGAAACUCAUUACUAGUAAUGAGUAGGUCUUCCGUUAUACUACUUCCUGUCGAGAUCGAAGAGUUCCAAUCGCAUAAAUAUUCCAUUCUACACCUUAAUAAUUCUCAACUAAUCAUACUCUUAACUUUCGACAAAAAUACCCAUGUUUGAGACAACUUCCGGUUUUUUGGUCGGCACUUCCGGUGGACAUAUUUUACAUGAACAAGACCUAAUCAUCAUCUGUAUUAGUCCCAAUAUCUGUCAAAACAAAAAAAAAACUUCAAAAAAUGACAUUUUUCAUAUCACUUCCUUUCACGACCGGAAGUGAUGGCUACGUACGAUUCUCACAUGAUGCAAACACACUGAUGACUGACUAUCAGUCUUGAAAACUUGAGACUUCAGUCAUUCACAUUUGCAGAGUAUUAGCUUGAACAAAUUCUCAUUUUGAAGACUGCAAAUCUCGCGACCGGAAGUAGAUUUCACCAAACUAUUUUACGUUAAUUUAGACAUUUGCAAUGUCUAUAACAUACAAGAAAAUCAUUUGUAAUACCCCAUAUACAAGUGAGAUUUAAGGCAAAGUCAAAAACUCAAUUUUUGCAGUUUUUCUCUUAAAAUCGGAAGUUGCCUUUUUUGCUUCCGCUAGGAUCAACAUAUUUCAAAACUACAAAAA